rnacentral:rRNA from 1 species
UGGGGAAUAUUGGACAAUGGGGGAAACCCUGAUCCAGCGAUGCCGCGUGAGUGAAGAAGGCCUUCGGGUUGUAAAGCUCUUUCAUUCGUGAAGAUAAUGACGGUAACGAAAGAAGAAGCUCCGGCUAACUCCGUGCCAGCAGCCGCGGUAAUACGGGGGGAGCUAGCGUUGUUCGGAAUUACUGGGCGUAAAGGGUGCGUAGGCGGUUUGAUAAGUGAGAUGUGAAAUACCCGGGCUUAACCCUGGUGCUGCAUCUCAUACUGUCAUGACUAGAAGGCGAGAGGGGAAAACGGAAUUCCUAGUGUAGAGGUGAAAUUCGUAGAUAUUAGGAGGAACACCAGAAGCGAAGGCGGUUUUCUGGCUCGCAUUUGACGCUGAGGCACGAAGGCGUGGGGAGCAAACAGG